ensembl:lincRNA 4930431F12Rik RIKEN cDNA 4930431F12 gene
GUGUGUUAGGAUGCCCUGGACUGGGCGAAGUGGAUGUUCUGGGUUCUGAUGAUGNNNNNNNNNNNNNNNNNNNNNNNNCUCCUGGCUGAAGAUGAAGGCCCAAAACAGGAUCUUUCCCAGAAGCUGUGUUGCUUUGGCCAGGAAGGUGGCGGGUUGUCUGGAGCGGAAGAUGGUGCCGCCUCAGAAGCUCUGUGGCUCUCGCCUGGCCCAGAAAAGGCUGGCCUCUGUAUUCCACACCGUCACCCAUGCAGCCUGCCCUCCGCGGAGUCCCGGAGACAAGGAGGCUCCCGCCAGGGCCUGAGGCAGAAACUGCUGGGGCCGGGUGGACCCCUGUGCUCUCACCAGGAAGGUGGCCAAUUGUCUGGAGCCGAAGAAUGGCGCUGCCCAGUGAAACUUGUAUAUGAGUUGUCACAGAUGCUGGGGCCCAGUAAGGGGGCGGAGAAAGCAGAAACUGAAGAUUCCUCUUGAGGAGGAAGCAAUGCUCUUUGGGUAGCAAGAUGUUGUGGAAUAUUCCUUACAGCAUUUCUACUCUUUAGUUCCAGAAAGUGGUGCCAGGAUCUAUGGCCCUUGGAAGAUGCGACAAUCAGGAUGAUACACAACCAAUAAGGGGAAAAUCUUUAUCCUUUUUCUUUAAUGUGAGGAAACCAGAUGUUAGAAAAGCUUAAUGGUACAGCUGAGAAGUCACAACUAGGAAGUACAGCUCCAAAAUGAGACUCGGGUUCUUGUCUUCAGGAGUGUGUAUUUUAAAAUAAAACAAAUGUACAGAUUUCCAGCAAGGCGGGUAACUAUGCAUGGGCCAAGUUCACAAAACUGGACACCCCAUAUUAAGCUGAUGAUGUCCGAUGAAACUCAGACAUGUGUUUCACCUGAAGAAGCAACAGCACAGAAAUCAUUAUGUAGGUCUGGCUAACCAUCUGCUUCCUAGAAGGUUGACUGGCUGGCUGCCUUCAAGCAAGAUGGGGGCUGACCACUGUAAAGACCAGAAGAUAACAAGAAAGUUGAGGCUUCCAGCAGGAUUCCCCAACCUCUGAGAACAAAAAAGCCUUAGGAACCUGCAUUUCCUAUGCUGUUGUGAAAAAAAAUUGGCUACCAUUCUAUCAGUAAAAAUAUUCUGAAGAAACAAAGGUAAUAACCACAUGACAGAUGCAACCAAGAUCAUCAAUACACUUAGUGUAGACGGUCUACAAAGCCUCCUGUUUUACAAGAUGGACAGAUUUGUUUCCUUUAACUUAAGAAUGGAUCUUAUUAUGAACAUGCAGAUUUGAAGAUGAAAAGAAGGAAUAUCAGCUGUUUACCAUGGCAGCAUGGAAAGUCACCAGGCUUUGAAGACUUGGGACCAGAAACCAAGGGCUCUCAGAAUUGAAUCCAUUCCUUGGCCACACUGUGUCCCACCAGCAGAGGGGAUCUAUUGACUGUUCCUUAGACACAGGUCACUAUGAUAAUGUGUUUUACCUUCUUGGUCUUCUCUGGGUUCAUUUGGUCAUUGUCAUUUUUUCCAGUGGUUUGCCAAGCCUCCAAAUCAACAUUUAGCUCUGUCAGGGAAAAAGUGUAAUUGGCUAGCAAGCCUUUGGUGCCCUUGUUGGACCAACUUCCAAGCCAAGAUUGAUUGUCAUUAUGACCAUUGCCUUCUCUAGACUCCUGAAGCCAAGAACUGGACUCAUGGAAUCUUGGACUAAUCAGCUCAUUCCUAUUCAUCUGGAACUCUCUUGACUUAGUCAGUGAAGGACCUAAGUCUCAGGAGAAUCUUAAACCAGGCUUAAAACUAAAAGCACCACAUCCUGUGAACUCCCUCAACCAAGUGCAAAUUAGAACAACCAGGGAUUAUCCACAGUCCCAGAAAUGGGAUUUUUGCACAGGAGGUGUGAGUGAAACUGGACUUCUCACAGCAAAAGGUUGAAGAGCUCAGGAGUCUGCCAAGGUCUUCCUGACCCCAUAGUCCAUCUGUCUCACAGGACUGUCCUGGCAGUAUGUGGAAUUCAAUACAGUCAUGUGGAAAUAAUCUUUCAAAUGAAAGUUCUAGAAUCAUAAAUUUUGCAAAUCUACAAAAUUGGAAUUUUAUUAUUUUCAUCACAUUCCAACUUUCUAGGCUUGUAUUUAAAAAUACUUGCUCUUGGUCUCAAAUCAAAUACAGUAUUUGAGUUC